AUACGGAGGGGGUUAGCGUUGUUCGGAAUUACUGGGCGUAAAGCGUACGUAGGCGGAUUGGAAAGUAUGGGGUGAAAUCCCAGGGCUCAACCCUGGAACUGCCUCAUAAACUCCCAGUCUAGAGUUCGAGAGAGGUGAGUGGAAUUCCGAGUGUAGAGGUGAAAUUCGUAGAUAUUCGGAGGAACACCAGUGGCGAAGGCGGCUCACUGGCUCGAUACUGACGCUGAGGUACGAAAGUGUGGGGAGCAAACAGGAUUAGAAACCCUAGUAGUCC
rnacentral:rRNA from 1 species